AUGUUAACUGUUAGCAGGUUGUUCUAUCGACUCGCCUUCUAUAGUCGAGCUCGCUGCUGCAAAUUUCAAGAGACAGGGUUAGUAAAAAUUGGUGUGUUCCUUUGUUACAUUGCCAUAGGUGUGCAUUUUGCAGUCUGUUACUUUUGUAUUGGUUUUUUUCUGGGGCUGAUUUGGAAGUUCUUUCUUGUUUUGUUACUUUGGGUGCUACCUGUGUUGAAUCUAGGUGUUCCUGGUAUUUGUAGUCUUGAGAUUUUUUUUGUUUGUAGUGAGAGGGGACUUGUUUGUAUGUAG